GGGUUUCCUGACCAGGUGGGCGUUCUUCUUUUCAUCAAUGAAUCGCCAUGGAUACCCUCCCACAUGCCGAGGACAAUUAAGCCCAAAUCAGUUACACCUGUGCAGUGCAGAGGUUUUAUAUGCUCUACCCCAGAGUUUGAUAACACAAGGCUGUUGCUGCUGUGUGUUGCAUUCUGCACGUUCACAGCUAACACAUUUAUGAGUUCUGUUUGAACCAUGAUCCAUUAAUGUUAAUCUAAAACAAUAUAAUUGAAUUGGUUGUAGAGGAAACCAUAGGCGUACGUGAUUACCAGGAUCUUCAUCCGUUUGUGUUGCUGGUGGAAAACACUAUCACUUGAAUGCACCCUGCAGCGGUGGUGAUGGACGGCAGAGAGCCUCACAAUACCUACACAUCACUUGACACUAGAGGCCAGGUUGGUCCCAUAUUGUUGGUGACCUGGACGGUGAGCAAAGACCACAAGAACAGGAGGAAUCCCGCACCAGGGAGAGCAACGAUAGAACCUAGGUGUUGUGUUGGUGAAAUUGACGUUGAGGAACGACCACAAGAGCAGUAGGAAUCCAGCACCACGGAGAGCAGCCAUGGAAACUAUAGGAACAACCAUGGAAGCACUGUUGAGAAAACUAUUGGAGGCGAACAGGGCACAGCUAUAGCCAGUAGCCGGGAGCUGCUGGGAGUGCUGACAGCCGGUCAUGUCGGCAGGGCUGCAGGUGCGGCAGUGCCCUGCCCUGGGCCCCAGCAGGUUUGUCUCGCCAUGGCAAGAGACGCAGCCGCCGCCGCCGCAAGAGACGCCGCCGCCGCCGCCGCAAGAGACGCCUUGAUCACCUAGAAGCACGGAUUGGGCUGAGGGAAAGAGAUGGGUGGAAAUAAUUGUACUGUUUCAUAUAAGAGGUGGAUGACCCUUUUCCCACCCUGGUUGGAUUUUGGAGGUGAAUAAACCAUUCGGCUUUGGACCUGCUCUCGUGUCAUAAUAUCUGUUCAACUUGGUAGCAUGGAAACCCCACACCCACUGGCCCGCUACACUAUAUUAAGUUAAUCUUUAGUGUGUCUAUUUUGUGUCUGUUUAUCUUUAUGGUGUGUGUGUCUGUAUAUAUGUAUAUAUGUGUAUAUAUAUGUAUAUAUAUAUGUGUGUGUGUAUGUAUGUGUGUGUG
ensembl:lncRNA